GAUGAACCCUGGCGGCGUGCCUAAUACAUGCAAGUCGAGCGAAUGGAUUAAGAGCUUGCUCUUAUGAAGUUAGCGGCGGACGGGUGAGUAACACGUGGGUAACCUGCCCAUAAGACUGGGAUAACUCCGGGAAACCGGGGCUAAUACCGGAUAACAUUUUGAACCGCAUGGUUCGAAAUUGAAAGGCGGCUUCGGCUUUCACUUAUGGAUGGACCCGCGUCGCAUUAGCUAGUUGGUGAGGUAACGGCUCACCAAGGCAACGAUGCGUAGCCGACCUGAGAGGGUGAGCGGCCACACUGGGACUGAGACACGGCCCAGACUCCUACGGGAGGCAGCAGUAGGGAAUCUUCCGCAAUGGACGAAAGUCUGACGGAGCAACGCCGCGUGAGUGAUGAAGGCUUUCGGGUCGUAAAACUCUGUUGUUAGGGAAGAACAAGUGCUAGUUGAAUAAGCUGGCACCUUGACGGUACCUAACCAGAAAGCCACGGCUAACUACGUGCCAGCAGCCGCCGUAA
rnacentral:rRNA from 1 species